CCAUAUAUUAAUUUACAAUACAAUUUAAUGAUUGUUUUUAAUUGUCCAAAUUUUAUAUCAAAGUCAUCCUGGCAAUGCCACAAAACAGCUAAAUAUUUGAUAGUGCAAUACACAACAAUUGUGAACUUGGCCAAAAACAAAUGCUGGACCUAUGAAUACCUCCACGAGUACCAGGUCAAUUUCUGCUGAUAACAUCCAGUUAAUCCGACUAUUUAAACACCCCAACCUCUAAUUGCUUUAUCAUAACUCUGAAUUGUGGUUGAAAUAGGAUUCGCAAUAUGUCUCAAUGUUGGAAAUUCAAGUAAGCACACAUCGUCACUUGUCUCUCUAUCUCUACACACAAUCGACAGCAAUAUUUCACUACAUCUAAGUCUCACAACAAAAAGAGGCCCAGAGGGCCUGCAUUGCUCACCUGGACAUUUCAGUAAUCCUAGCUGGCAAAAAAUAAGUUAUAUUACAAAUAUUUUUCUACUUUUUUUCCCUAUUGUGCCCCACCCCUCUGGCCCCAGAGAAGCCAUGGCCACAACCCCCUGUUUUUGCAACAUUGGAUCUCCCUUGCCAAAUAAUGAUCCAGACCAAAUUUCAUCAAAAUCUGUUCAGGUAUUUAGGACUAGUAGCGAUUUAAAUGAAAUGGAAAACAGAAGAAGCACUACAGCAUGAGCUAACAAAAGGUCAUCAUUCCAAUUAAUUUUCUUUGAAAAAAUGAAGGACCCCUGCUAACACACAAAUUGAUCUUCUCGUACAAACUAGGUAAACUGCUUCUGAAUAAAUUAUUCAUUUUGCAAAGAACCCCAACUAUAAAAAGAGGCAGGGAAAGUCUGGAAAGAUUUUUUUUAAAGAAUCUUGAUAAUUUUAUACUUAAAACUCCUUUAUUCUUCUUUAAAGAUAAGGAUAUAAUCAUGUUUCAGCAUUUGUGGCUUGAAAUAUGAAGGAUACCAUAUAUGCAGACAACAUUCAUAAAACCUCUCAUUAAUGUGCUUGGCACCAGACAUAACAUACAUGUGUUUUGUACAAUAAUAUUUAAGUUAUAUUUUAGCUAUAUCCCAUUUUUUCUCAUUUACAUCACUCGCAGACAUAAUCGUACUUACAAGUCUAGAAGACAGGUUACAAAGAUACCUUGCUUUUGAAAUAUUAUAGUAUCACAAUUCAAGUGUACUGACAAUCACUGUCCAUGACCUGAUUUGGUUGCUACACCAUAACCAAGCAGUCCUACAAUAUCAUCGAUAGUCUCGGCUUAAUACUUCAAUGUUAUAUAAACCCAAGGAACAUAUAAUAAAUAAACUUGUUUGUUAAGAAGUAAAUCAUGGGAGAAUAAAUGUCACAUUUAACAGACAGUACCACCGAUUACAGUGCAAAGAAAAAAAAAUCAAAAGUUUAAUUGCAUGCAACAAGCUGUAGAUGUAAUAAAAAAGUGACUUUAGAAAGGCUAUGCCGCCUUUAUGCAUGUACAUGCAUUAAUGAUUUUAAAUGAAAAAUAACCCUGUGAGAAACCUUUAAUCAAUCAGAAAUAAUCCCAGACUAUUGUAAGUAUACCUCAAACUGUUCAUCAAUAUUAACCAGAAUGAUAUACUUAACAAUAUUUUGAAUGUUUUAAAUUAAUGACAAAUUCUGUAAAGGUCAUUACAGAGGUUAAUUUAGGCCAUAGGUCAAAUUGUUUCAUCAAUAUUAACUAAGGUGACAUAAUUACCAUUUAUACUUUUUAUAACAUGUAAAAUUAUGUUAAAGAUCAUCACGUAGGUCACCAAAGGUCACAGGUCAUCAAUUUAUUCAUUGUGGUAUAAAUUUAAAGUAAAUUCACUCUUCAUGUUAAUCCACGGUCAUGAUCAGUCAAUCUUGUGCAACUAUCUUUUUCUUCUUCUUAAGUGACAAUUCUAUUUACCAUGACUUGUUGAUGCACAAUUAUGGUAAUGUGCUUUAAAUGCUUUAAAUGAUUAAGCUGUGGGCAAACCUUCCUUAUUUAAAUAAUCUAUAAUAUUGUAUCUUUCUGGUUUCAAAAAAGAACAGCAUGUAUAUGUCUAUAGUUAAUUAUGAAUUAAUAUAUAAAUUGAUGUAAUCGUUCAGCUGGUGAGCAAAUCACCCUUUUGUUGGCAUAUGUGUAAGUAGUAAAACAACCUACAGAGUAAAUCGCCUUGUCAUAGCUGUACAAAUGUUUAACUACAUCAGAUGCAUGAUUAUUUUAGAAUUAACUAUUCAUGCUUGUGAUCAACUUUGAAUUUUCUUUUAGCUGAUAAGUGAAAAUGCAUGGUUGCCUAGCUUUUCCUGUAAAAUAUUUUAUGGUUGAAAGCCGACUUGCAAAAUUUAAAUGCCAUUCCAUCUAUGACAAGAUGUUAAUGGAGAGAUAUGAUUUCACUUUUGACCCUUGUGACCUUGACUAUUUCUGAUAAAUCCAUCUACAAACAUGAAUCAUUCCCCUGUCCACAUUGUAUGAUUCUACAUGACGGACGGAUGGAAAGGCAUGAGUGUAACCGUCUAGUCUCUCACAGUUAACUGGUAAUGAAGAAAUAAAUCUAGGUACAAAGUAUGAAACUUCAGGACAAAUUCAAUAUAUGUAUAUAUAUUAAGCCUUUCACCCCUACUGACCAUAUUGGACUUCAAAUGAUGAAUAAAUGGCAGAGUCCACUUAAGUUUCCUAGGGUUGAAAGGGUUAAUACAAGAUGCUGUUAGUGACGAAAUUCAAUUCAGACAAAUGUUGAUGUUAAUAAAAAUAAAAUUAUCCAGAAUUUUGCACAUUCAAACAAAAAGAACACAUUAGCAGCUCUGACACCAUAUCUUCACCAUGGGAGACAACUCUACCCUACCAACUAAAUGUAAUACGAAGUUUAUGGCGACUAAAUUAUAAGAAUAUCUAUAAAUGCAUUGUCUUGACAUUUAAAGUCACUCUGACCAAAAUACUUAUAUCACACACAUACAUAGUUCAUUACGAACAAUCUUAUAGUUAAUAUCACACAAUGGAAGCCAGCAAGAUAUUGUUUUCAUUUCUCUUAAAUGACAUUUUCAAAGAAAUAAAUACGAAAUUCUGGUAGUAUUUAGCAGAGGGAUUUUUGCCCCUACGAAUAUAUGAUGUAUACAAUCAUAUUACAAUGUAUUUAAAAUUGUUAAAUUCAUAUUUGCUCAGACUUAUGUAUCUAACAAAAGCCUGACCUAUCUUGGUUCCAUUGAAUUUUAUAAAAUAAAUAUUUCACUUAAUCCCUUGAUACAAAAUUAACCUCCCUUCCUAUACCUUUGUAAUCGUGGUGCACUACCUCUUUACAAACAAAUAUGUGGAGAAGGUAAGAAAUGUUAGCAAGACAAACUUUGUACAAAUGCAAAAUUAUUGAACAAAAUACAAAAAUAAUGGAAAAUACACAAACGUUAUAUUAGGUGUAAACUGGUAACAUGCAUUGACUUUCAAAGAGUUGCUGGAGAGAGUAAGCUUAGGAUACACUUGAUAUGAGGAUAUCAUUAAAGGAACACAAGUCUCCAGAAUAUCCUCCAAGAUAAAUCACAACCCAAAAAUUCCCUAUGAAUUGAUCAUGUUGGCUGAGAAAGUAAGCAGCAGAAAAUCUUGAAUCCACAGAUGUACAAAUCUCAGUAUACCAAACCCUGAUCUGUCCUUUCAUCCAACCUUCCAAGUUACUUUGUGUUUCAUUGAGCAGUACUGGCUAAAGUUUCACAACACAUCUAAGACAAACUUAUCACAAAAAGAAGGUAUAACUACAAGAUAUUUUGUCUGAAUUUGACAAAACGGUAACAUAAUUAAGAAGCCUAUUUGUAGAGAAACCACUUCCAUUUGUUAGAGAAUACUCUUGACACAUUUAUGUGGUGAGACAGGGUGGUUUGUAUUUAAUAUAUUAUGGAGUGUAAAUUGAACUAAGAAUGUUAGAUGUGCAGGUACUGUAGUUCAAAACCUUGUGAAGUAUGAAAACAAUUUUUUACAAGCAAUGUGAUAUACAAAACAUGAACAUUUUACUGAUCGCCUUUCCUUUGUUUAUAAAUGCCUGAGUUAUCCUCAAAAAAAGCAAAAAAAAAAAAAAAAAAAAAUAAUAAUAAUAAAAAGAAAUAAAAAAUAAAAAAAAGAAAGAAGAAAAAUCCUUAUAUAUUGAAGGCAGUUCCAAAGAGCAAGAUAUAUUCAGUGAAAUUAAUACAAAAUAAUGAAUACAACAAAUUCAGCAAAUGUAUUAAAUUAUUAAAAUUCAGAAAGGUUAAUCAUUAUGUCAUGGGUAAU